GUUGAUGGUGGUGUGUGGCAGGGAUGGACGAUGAAGACAGCGAUGCGCCACUUGAGGAAAUGCUGGAUGAUAAGAUGAGAGUACGCUACUUCAAAGGGUACCUUAAAGCGGUAGCAGAGGCAAUCAGGUGAGUAAGAUAUAGGGAGUGGUUGCUUGGUUCCAGAAUAUUAGGGAUUUGUAGAUGAAUUAACAUGGAGGCUGUUGUUGGGUGAGACAGAGAUGGAGUGGAUGUGAAGGGUUACUUUGCAUGGUCGUUGCUGGACAACUUCGAGUGGGCGCAAGGUUACACCAAGCGAUUUGGGAUAGUGUACGUGGACUACAAGGACGGGAAGCUGACUCGCCACCCAAAGUCGUCUGCAUAUUGGUUCUUGAGGUUCCUUAAGGGUGGUGAGGAAGGGAAAGACACAAAACAAGAAUGACUGAAUAUGGGUGGGUGUUGUGUUUAUGUAUGUCUCGCCUACUGUGACCUUUAAGCAUCUCUAUUGUACGUUGUAAUUGUGUGAGCGGAUUGGGUUUCUCCCGACUUUGUGGUAUGGUUCAUGAGGAGAGAACAGAAUAGAAUAGAGAGCUAGUUGCCCAUGGUAGUAGCUCAUCACUCUAUUUCUUUUACUACACCGGUUGUUGGAGAUGACUUUUGGGAUUGGUUGUACCUUCUGAUUGAUGUUUCAUUGAUCAUGAGAAGUUUAGACCACAACGAGUUAGACCAUGUCUACGCAGCGUGCCAUCAUGGCUUAAUCAUUGGGCCCAUCACUACCAUUGAAGAUACCAAGAGUUCAUGACCAUACCAAGAGUUCAUGGUAUUACUGCAGGUGUGCCAUUCCCCAAGAACUGUAUGCUCAGAAGCUAGACAGCAUCAUUCAAUUAUAUUACAUUUCAUAGCUACAAUCAAGUUGUACUGUAAGGGACUGAAGUUAAUGUCUUUGGAACCAAAUAGACAUUGAGUUGAAUCUAGCUAUAUAUUAUACCCCAAGAAUAAUAUAUAGUGUGGAGUUGGGUUUUGGAAUUGAUAGAUAGUGAAGAUAGUUUCACUAUUUCAAGGUAUGGACUUAGAUAUCACUCAUUUCUUCUUCCAAGGUAAAAUACAUACCAUUUACACCUCUUUCGUCCAAAUAGCUAACCAGCAUUUUACAACCCUGCCCACUACCAUUUUACAACCUUAACGAAGCACACAACAUAGACAUUAAUAUUCAGUUGUCUCAAGACAUUAUAUGUUUGGCAAAAUCAAUUUCUACUGUGCUCAAGAUUUUGAAGCAGAAUUUAAGAACUGAGAUAUGUGACCGAGAUACCGGAUUAUAGAUAACAACCGAUGAAAAUCAUCACAAUCUCCAAACACAAAAGGAAACCUGAGUAUUCAUCAAAGUAGGAUAGAAUCAAGCCUUCAGCACAUUAUUUUUCGAACAAGCUUGCGACGUAAUUCUAUACAUACCAUCAACCAUCCCAUACAACUUUCCAGCGAUAUUUAUCUUCAAGGUAGGCAAGCAGAGUUUGAGGUUUGCGCUUUCCAUCGAUAUUUCAUUCCAACACUCGAUCAACUUCUUUGAACGCUGUCCAUUGACUGAUGUAUACCCUUAGUAAAGGCAGCAAAUUUUCCCGUGGCACCAGAAGUGGUCAACAAAACUCCCAUCGAGCAUGUUGAUACUCGACGGUCCCAUCGAGCAUGUUGAUACUCGACGGUCACAACAAUUUCCCGUACUGGCUUUUUUCAUUUCCAUCAUUAAAAGCCACAACUUACAGUUUCAGGAGGCAUUCCCUAGCCCCUCCUCGAACUCCAACUUUCAUAUGUUCAUUGGAGCAAGCGGGCAACUUUAGUAGCAAGGAGCACAUAAAUUAAUUACUUCUGCUAGAAUAUCCACAUUUCCAUCAUUGAAAUUUAACAAUUACAGUACCACAAAGCAUCACUAGUUCCCUUCUAGGGCUCCAACUUUGAAAUAUUCUUUGGACCAGAAGGGCAACUGCUAGUAACAUAACAAAUUUUCCAAUAGUGAAUUUCAUUUCCAUCAUUAGAACCCCACCUUUAUUACUUCAGGAGGCAUUCACUAGUUCCCUCCUCAGACUCGAACUUUCAUAUGUUCAAUGGAGCAGAAGGACAACCCUAGGAGCAAACAAAUUAAAUACUUACGGUACCAGAAGGCAUCACUAGUUCCCUUCUAGGACUCAACUUUAAUACAUUCGUUGGAGCAGAAGGGCAACCACAGGAACAUAACAAAUCUGCCAACAGUAAAUUUCAUUUCCAUCAUUAAAACCCAACGUUUGUAGAUUCAAGAGGCAUUCAAUAGUUCCCUGCUCGGACUCCAUCAUUGAAAUCAGACACUUAUAGUACCAAAGGGCAUUCAAUAGUUCCCUGCUCGGACUCCAUCAUUGAAAUCAGACACUUAUAGUACCAAAGGGCAUUCAAUAGUUCCCUGCUCGGACUCCAUCAUUGAAAUCAGACACUUAUAGUACCAAAGGGCAUUCAAUAGUUCCCUGCUCGGACUCCAUCAUUGAAAUCAGACACUUAUAGUACCAAAGGGCAUUCAAUAGUUCCCUGCUCGGACUCCAUCAUUGAAAUCAGACACUUAUAGUACCAAAGGGCAUUCAAUAGUUCCCUGCUCGGACUCCAUCAUUGAAAUCAGACACUUAUAGUACCAAAGGGCAUUCAAUAGUUCCCUGCUCGGACUCCAUCAUUGAAAUCAGACACUUAUAGUACCAAAGGGCAUUCAAUAGUUCCCUGCUCGGACUCCAUCAUUGAAAUCAGACACUUAAACACUGACUUUCAUGUUCAUGAUUAAAUCCAACACUUCAGAGUUUAGAAGGCAUUCACUCUCGUCUGACUCUAACUUUCAUAAGUUCAUUGGAGAGAAUGGGCAACAACAAAGGGCAUCACAUUUUUAUUUGAUUAGAAGGCCAAAUUCCCUCACAUAUGCCUUCAGCUACUGACCUGUACUCAGCUUCAGAGCUACUCCUUGAGACCACUCCUUGUUUCUUGCUUCUCCAAGUCACUAGAUUGCCCCAUACAUAGGUGCAAAAUGCUGAUGUUGAUCUUCGUUCUGUUAAAUCUCCAGCCCAACUAGAAUCUGUAUACACAGUGAUUCCUUGUUGUGUUUUUUUCUGGAGAUAAAGGCCCAACCCGGGUGUACCUUUUAAGUACCUAAUAAUUCUCAUUAUUGCCGAGAGAUUUUCCUCGUUAGGCUGAUGCAUAUGCUGGCUCACAAUACUCACUGGGAAUGAGAUGUCUGGACGAGUAUGUGCCAAGUAUAUUAACUUACCAACCAGACGUUUGUAGCUCCUCCUUUCCACCGGAGCUAGAUCGGGGUUAUGAGUGAAUUUCAGAUUUGCUUCCAUUGGAGUACUUGCUGGUUUGCAGCCAGUCAUUCCAGUUUCCUUCAACAAAUCUAGGACGUAUUUGCGUUGUGAUAGAACCAGACCUUUACUCGAUCUAGCCACUUCGAUACCUAGGAAAUAUCUUAAGUUUCCACUCUGAUACCUAGGAAAUAUCUUAAGUUUCCAAGGUCGUUUAUCUCGAAUUCAUAUGUAAGUUUCAACUUCAGCCUCUGAAUCUCUAGUUCAUCAUUUCCAGUGAUGAAAAUGUCGUCCACGUAAACAAUCAGAAUGGAAAUUUUUCCAGUUUGUCCAUGUCGAACAAACAUGAUAUGGUCAGUCUGGCACUGAUGGAAGUCACAUCCCUUUACUACUUGAGAGAAUCGUUCAAACCAUGCCCUUGGAGAUUGUUUUAGUCCAUACAAGGCUUUUUUGUGCUUACAUAUUUUCCCUGGGUCAACUUGAACUCCUACUGGAACUUUCAUGAAAACUUCCUCACUUAGAUCACCAUUUAGGAACGCGUUUUUCACGUCUAAUUGGUAGAGAGGCCAAUCUAGGUUUACUGCCAAGCUGAGAAGGACCCGUACUGUCUUUAGUUUUGCUACUGGGGCAAAAGUCUCCUCAUAGUCGACUCCAUAUAAUUGAGUGAACCCAUGAGCGACCAGCCUUGCUUUAUAUCGCUCUAUACUUCCAUCUGAAGCAUACUUGACAGUGAAAAUCCACUUGCAGUCAACGAUGGAUUUAUCUGGUGGAAGUUGUACCAUCUCCCAUGUGCCAUUUUUCUCUAGUGCUCUAAUUUCCUGCAUCACGGCAUGUCUCCAGUGUGGUAUCUGCAUUGCUUCUUCGACAGAUUUUGGUAUCUCAGUGGAAUCUACACUGCUUACGAAGGAUUGAUACUUGGCACUGAGGUUUCCAUACGACACUCAUCUUUCAAUUUGAUGUUGAAUGCACGUACGAGUUCCUUUUUCUUUGAGCAAUAAGCAGAUCCAUUGAACUAUUAGGGUCUUUAUUGCCUGCUUCACUGCUUGUUGAAGUGUCAGUGUCAAUGUGAGCUUCCUAGGAAAUAGGUUGCUCGUCAGAUGAUGGCAGUUUGAAAGUUGUGUGUCGGGUGUCUUCUUCCUCCUAUCAUACAACAGGAGAGGUUUAUUUGUAUUUUCAUCAGUGCAUUGAGUACCUGUGGCAGUUGCUAUAGGGCUAGAAACUACAAAGGGAACUGGCACGGGCUCUUAUGAUAUGAUUUUCCCAAGAGAAGGCUGCUCAAAAUUCUCCCCCUGAGGCUGAGUUUGGGAAUAGUAGGGUUGAGAUUCAAAAAACUUGACAUCUUUGGAGUGAUAUAUUUUUUGGUGGAGGGGCGAGUAGCACUUGUAACCACUUUGAUUUGAAGAGUACUCGACGAAGACACAAGGAAUCGCUCUAGGAUCUAAUUUAGAGCGAAGAGAAGGGGCUACAUGGACAUAAACUGUGCAGCCAAAGAUUUUUGGUGGAAUGUCGGAGGAGAUGACAUGGCCUUGAAGGAAAGCAGCUAAAAGGACAUUUCGAGAUGUGUCGAGUUUGAGAGGCCUACAAGGUAGUCGGUUGAUGAGGUAUGUAGCUGUUAGCACUACUUCUCCCCAUAAAUGUUUGGGAGCGGUGGAAGCAAAUAACAAUGCCCUAGCUACUUCAAGGAGGUGCCGAUUUUUCCGUUCGGCCACUCCAUUUUGUUGUGGGGUGUAGGGACAGGAACUAGUGUGAUUGAUACCAUGAGUUGAGAGAUAAGUAUCAAGGGAGCUAUUUAGACCCAACAGGAAGCGAAUAGUUCUCUUGUAUUCAAGGAUCUUCUGAUAAAGGCACCAUCAACUGUGCAGACCCAGAGAUGCUCAUCUUAUAGAUCUUGUUGCAUCCAGAUUUUGCUCAACUCAUUAUAGUAUUGAGUGACCAACAUUUCUCCUUGUUUUAGGUCAUGGAGACGCAUCUCGGUGUCGUACAAUUGAGCUGUAUUUGACUGAUUUGAAUAGGUGUGAUGAGCACUAUCCCAAAUUUCGUAGGCUGGUUUGUGAAGGAGGAAUUUUUCACCAAUCGAGGGUGUCAUAGAGUUGAGAAGUCAUGAUUGCACCAUGUUGUCCUCAAUUUCUCAGUUGGUAAAUUGAGGAUCGGUUUCAGCGGAAGGAUUGCUUUUGUCAGAGAAGUAGCCCUUCUUUCCUUUGAUAGAAAUGAAUUUGAGGACAGAGGAGGACCACUGGAGGUAAUUAUCACCAUUGAGGCGGUGAUUGGUGAUACUUCCGAUUACUGUGUCUGUUGGAGGCAGAGGAGGAGGGCUGGAGUUAUUGUUUUGGUGUUAAUGAGUUUCUGGAACACCAGAGGAGUUUGAUGAUGGUAUCUCGGAGUUGAUGGAAUGACUUGAAAGAUCGUCGUUCACCAUUGAUGAGAUUGAGAGAAAACUGGAAAAAUUUUCUUGAGGUUUUUGUUUUGGUGGUGAUGAGUUUUUGAAACACCGGAGGAGUUUGAUGAUGGAAUCUCGGAAUUGAUGGAAUGACUGGAAAGAUCAUCAUUCAUCAUUGAUGAGAUUGAAAGAAAACUGGAAAAAGUUUUCUUGAGGUUUUUGUUUUGGUGUUGAUGAGUUUUUGAAACACAAGAGGAGUUCGAUGAUGGAAUCUCGGAAUUGAUGGAAUGACUGGAAAGAUCAUCAUUCAUCAUUGAUGAGAUUGAAAGAAAACUGGAAAAAGUUUUCUUGAGGUUUUUGUUUUGGUGUUGAUGAGUUUUUGAAACACAAGAGGAGUUCGAUGAUGGAAUCUCGGAGUUGAUGGAAUGACUCCUCAGCUUGCAGUUCCUCAGUUGGAACAUGAACCCCAAUUGGUUGCUCAACAUCAACUGCUAAACAGUCCACAGGUUCAGUGCUCUUCUCUAAAUCACCAUAUUGGUUGAUAAGUGUAGCAGCACGUUCUACACGCAUGCUAAUUUUUGAAGAUGGAUCAUGUUUAAUGAUCCGAAUACCCCUCAAAUCAAAGUUUCCAUUGUGCAAAGACGCCAAGCCAUUUACCAUACCUGGAAAAGAAGUUUAUAGACAAACAUAUUAUAUAUAUGGCAAACACUUCGAUACCCGCACGUAUUGGUACCCUCCACACUAAAAAUCUAACAUUUCUAAAAUUUAAAAUUCAAAAAAUAAAUCUUAAAUCCCUUACAAUAAAUCCUAAUCCACAAACACUACAUCAUAAACUCAACUCUAAAUAGCAUCACAAAAUCAAAUUUUGACCAUAAAUCAAAAUUAAGAGACCCUAACCCUAAAAAAUUAAAAUACUAUACCCCUAACACUGUAUUUUAAACCCUAAACACACUAGGCACAAAAUAUGGCAUAAAAGAGGCCGGUUCAUGUUUCACGAAAGAAUAACACGAAAAGCAUGGCAAAAAUUAAAUUGUGGACUCCAGUGAAAACUUACCAGUUAAUAUAGGUUCAUUAAAAACUUGAACUUCCAAAGCCUGUCUUUGUAUCAUCGAUAUCUCAAUGCGUGUGCAAGGAGCCUUCUUUCGUACACGACGUAUGUCCCCGGUAUUAGUCAAUUGCUGACGUAUAGUACUAGAAAGGAAAAACAAAUACAGUUAAUAGUAAGUCUAAUCCCAGAGAACAACAACGUCGAUAAACCAGACAUAAAUGCCUGGAACUUGUACUGUCAAGAUCACUUAGAUAGUAUAGUGGGAAAUGCAGUGAAACAUGAGAUUACGACAUUACGUACUCUCCAUGCAGAACCAUUGUCUCAUCCAUAAGCACUUUCCUCUUUGAGGCACUAAGACGGGAACUGGGACGAGACCGUUUUGCAGAUUUCACCUCUGGAGCAGGCGGACUAGGCUUCAGCCUCAAACUUGAAGAUUUUCUUCCAACUGUCAUAAAAAAGGAAAGCGCUCAACCGUCUAGACUUCCAGCCUUAAUCUCAUAUGAUAACUAAAUUCUGUAUAUUUUAGGGAAAAAGGUAUCUAAAAGGCAAUACAAGUUAUCAAAGUAAACCAAGUAUAGAGAAAGAAACAAAAUCACAUACCUAAAAUAGAACUCAGCAAAUCAUCAUCAGGAAUAGUCUCUUGGGUCCUUUUGGAUCUAGAUAGUCCAAGGGACUCCGAAGGAUUUAUAUCUCCUAUGUUUAAGGUACUUUCUGUAAAGCUUCUCUUUCUCCCAGCAACUCUGCUACCAACACUAGUCCCAUUAGCGCUUUCUAAGAAUUCACUGGCUGGUGUUAAUGCACCAAAGAACUGAUCAGGCCCAUCAAGAAGCUUUUCUGGUACAGAAAGCAUCUUUUCAGGUGCAGACAAGUCAUUCAAUUUCUCAGAAUGGUCACUCUUCGGGAUCUCGUUCACUACGUUAUCAUCCAGUCUAACGCUUCCAUCCAUGAUUUCUCCCUCGCGACCUGGUUGUACAACAUGAGCAUUGUCCAACAUUGUGCGGUCAACUAAAUGAGACUCCACACCUACAAAGUUAAAUAUCAUGCAAUUAGAUCAUGGAGAUCUGCAGAAGCACCACGAAUAAAGUACAACUAGUUUGCAAGAAGUCAAGAGCUCCCAAGUAAACACCUUGCAUAUCAGUAGAAUCUCCAUGCGAACAUGGGACAUCUUCUGUUUUUGAUGGGUCUGCAGAGGAUGGCACUGAUUGUAUGUCAGGUUGAAGUAUGGAGGCAAUGCAAGCUUGCAAUCCAACCAUAUUGGUAGAAGAAGAAAUUUUUCCGUUGUUGAUAUCAAUGUUUAAACUCACGUCUCCCUGAGUUUCGGUAUUAGAAUGCCCAGGAGCAUGAGGUAACUCAAGCAAUUGUCCUUCAACAUCUCUCGGAACAUCAGUAUUACCACUUCCAAGCAAUCUGGCCCCAAUAGCUUCUUCACAUUUCUCGUCUGUUGACUCCAACGGGUGACUAGGUUGUUCAUGCCCUACUUCGUCGUCACUUUUUUUGCCCACCUUAUUUGCAUCCUGCAACUCACCAGUAGUUCUAUCUUUCUGUAUGUACUCCAUAGACACUGGAGAAGAGCAUACAGCAGCUUUGAGCUUUGCUUUAUUUAUUGUUAAGUCAGAAGCCAGAAAUAUAUCCUGCUCUUCUUCGAGGCAUUGAAUACGAUCACCUACUGAUGAAUCAAUUGCUUCAUCCCUGUGUCGACGAUCAACCUUGCUAUAAACAUUUUCUGUGUUCUCCACACCAUGUAUAUCUGCUGAAUUGCGAUCUUCAGAUUCUAAAUGAUCAUCACAGACCAGCCCAUGCUGAACACUGGAUAGGUUUGGCUCUUCUACUAAUACAGGAGUAGAUGGAGCCUGUGCAUAUUCAAUAAGCUCUGCAUUUGAAGUUCGAUCCCCAAUCUGCAACGAAACAAAAGUGAUCCUAGUCAAAUAGGAGACAAGAAUACAAGAAUAAGGCAAAGUGGAUGAAAAAUUAGAUAGUCUACCUCGUUUACACUAUUAUUGACAGGACAGGAUUCAGAUAAUCCUGCAGUUCUGUGGUCGGUUUCAUCUCUUUUUGGAUCUUCAACAUCAUUGAUGGACAUCCUAUGAUCAAAUAUGGGGACAAAGCACUCAUUUAAAUAAAGUUACUUGUGAUGGAAACCAUCCUAUGACUCCAUAUGAAAUUAAAUAAAGUUCCAAUAUAAAACCACCGCAAUCCACGAAAAGCUCUAUAGCACAUUUAUCCUUUAAAAAAGAAACAGGUGAAGUAUACAAAAAUGUACGUCUCACAGAAAAUGUACGUCUCCCAGAAUUGGAAGAUGAUCAUUGUAUCAAGAAAACACCAACACUGUAGAAAAUAAUCUGAACCUCAAGUAACACCCACCAUACACGGCCAGCCCAGGAAAAGAAUUAGUAGAUAAGCAAUGUCUAAUGGAGAGAUAGUUCCAAACAAAAUCAAAGUUAAGAAUAGCAGCACGGAAACAUUGACUAAACUUAAGAAUUUUUUUUCCCAUGAAUAAAACUUAAGAAAAUUAAGAUGGCAUAUGAAGACAUAGGGUCAUCNNNNNNNNNNNNNNNNNNNNNNNNNNNNNNNNNNNNNNNNNNNNNNNNNNNNNNNNNNNNNNNNNNNNNNNNNNNNNNNNNNNNNNNNNNNNNNNNNNNNNNNNNNNNNNNNNNNNNNNNNNNNNNNNNNNNNNNNNNNNNNNNNNNNNNNNNNNNNNNACUUUACAACCAGAAAACUAACUUUAAAGAUAAAUCACUAACAAGUCAAUCAUGUCUGACGUAUAGUGAAACAGACACAUGUAUUCAAAGAAAUGAGGAUCGAAGUCAUACUCUAAAAUCCCAUUGGUUCCUGAAGCUGCAGCCUUGUCAAGGAACAAAUCCUGUACAACAUCCAAGGGUAAAAAUAAGAAAUGAGCAACAGCUAAAAAUAAUAUAAAAAUGGGCAUAACCACAAUGAUAGGACCAAUACAUCGUAGAUAAUUCUUAUGCAUGCACCAAUCAACAUAAAAAUGGAGGCGAAAGCAAUUAGGAAAGUACAAAGGAAUUACUACAGAGUUGGUUCAAUAUAAAACAUGAAAAAAACUCUCGACAUAUGCAGAAGAAAUAAAGGACGCAUAGCUCCUACUCUUUCAUAUCAAAUUAAGAAAGAAUUUACAUUGGGAUCCCAAUGAUUAGAUAACCAGGAAAGAAUACAUUUCUUUCACUCAAUCAUUUAUUAGUGUCAUAUCUGUCGAAAAUUGAGAUCCACAACAAAAUGACCAAUCCAACAACAUUGAAUCAAGAAACAUGAAAACAUUGAUGAAGCUAAACACAGGUGCAUAAUACAAACCAACUCUUAAGAUAAACAACAAUUAUGUACCGCACAAUUACCUCUUUAAGGUCCAAACAAACUUGAGAAGCAUCACCAUCACCAAAGCGUUCUGAAACCAUAACUCACUGAAGUUUAAUAACUACUCGAGGAGCAUGCAUCAGAUAAACACAAUCUAUCAUGAGACUAUAAGAAUGACACCAUAAAUGGUUACAAAGGUUAAUACUAACCAUCCAAUCCAAAUUGAGAUGUGGUGUAAACCACACCCUCCAUCGAGUCUUGAAGGGUGAUUUGCUCCUUUGAACUAACGUGAUGGUCAACAUAAUUACUGAAACAUGUAGAUAAAUAAUACAAACUUCAGUUGGGAGAGUAAUGCAUUAAUAUAGCGAUUUCACAUUAAAACUGAACUAUAUUGUAACCAAGAGAUCUAUAAUAACUUCAAUGCAAAUGACUUCGAGCUGAUCGGGAAUGUAAUGCCAAACCAGUGAAAUAUAAACUACUAUCAUGAAUCAAACUGCAUAUUCAUAAGAAAAGAGUGUAUUCAACAACACUUCAGAUAUAAGACCUAACAACAGAUUGCACAAAAGCUUAUAUGGGUGUCUGGAACUAACCCUUGGAGAAUAUCAUCAUCUGGAAGUUCAAAAUCAUCAAGAUCAAAAGUUUCAGGCAAGGUGAUAGAGUUAUAGGGAGCAGUUGACUCUUCAGGUGGUAAAUCAACUGCAGUGGAUCGAAAAGCUUGCUUUAUCUUUAGCAAAGCCUCACUGCAAUCAUCGAAAAGGUAAUUCACCUUCCUAGAAUAUAUCCUCACCACACCAACCAGAAGAUGACUGGACAGUCUAAGUGCGAUUGGUACAUCAGGGGAAAGAAUUGAAUCUGUAAAAGGGAAAAACGUUAAAAGGAGACAUGAGCCUAUACUAAAAAAUUAGCAACAGUGCAACAGUAAAUGAAACUGAAUUUAUCCUGUUUCCUAAUAUGGAUGUCUCUGUUGAGCUAAAACAAUCGAAUGCAGGGAGCAGGCUGCAUGUGUUUGCACCUCACACUACUAUACAAUGCAAUUGCAUGUAAACUGGAAUCAGAUAAAAUGGAUUUUGUUGGGCUGAAUCAUUAUACGUCAAGGUUCAUUGCCCAUGUACCAGGUGGUGGUGAUGCCGAAACUAAUUUCUAUAAAGCACAAUCGAUGAAGAGGAUUCGUAAGUCAAUUGUAAAAAAACGCAGUUCUGAUAUUUUGUAAUACCGUUUAGCGUUAUUGAUGUUUCUCAUUUCCACUGUGUCAUCAGAUGAAUGGGAAGACGGAGAACCAAUUGGUGAGAAGGUGCGCCUCUCUCUACCAGCCUUGAGAAAUCAUGUUUAAUUCGUUGACUAAUAUACUUACUUUAGGGAUGAUGUUAUGUAAUGCAAUGCAGGCUGCAUCGGAAUGGCUAUACGUUUGCCCAUGGGGACUGAGGAAGGUCCUGAAUUACGUAGCCAAGACAUACAAAUCCCCCAAAAUAUAUAUAACAGAGAAUGGUAAGUACGUGGAACGACAGGACUACCCAUGAUGUUGUUAUUUGAACUUGCCUGGAGGUUUGCAUCAGUUUCAUGGUUAUGAGUUGGUGUUGAUGGUGCUGUGUGGCAGGGAUGGACGAUGAAGACAGCGAUGCGCCACUUGAGGAAAUGCUGGAUGAUAAGAUGAGAGUACGCUACUUCAAAGGGUACCUUAAAGCGGUAGCAGAGGCAAUCAGGUGAGUAAGAUAUAGGGAGUGGUUGCUUGGUUCCAGAAUAUUAGGGAUUUGUAGAUGAAUUAACAUGGAGGCUGUUGUUGGGUGAGACAGAGAUGGAGUGGAUGUGAAGGGUUACUUUGCAUGGUCGUUGCUGGACAACUUCGAGUGGGCGCAAGGUUACACCAAGCGAUUUGGGAUAGUGUACGUGGACUACAAGGACGGGGAGCUGACUCGCCACCCAAAGUCGUCUGCAUAUUGGUUCUUGAGGUUCCUUAAGGGUGGUGAGGAAGGGAAAGACACAAAACAAGAAUGACUGAAUAUGGGUGGGUGUUGUGUUUAUGUAUGUCUGGCCUACUGUGACCUUUAAGCAUCUCUAUUGUACGUUGUAAUUGUGUGUGCGGAUUGGGUUUCCCCCGACUUUGUGGUAUGGUUCAUGAGGAGAGAACAGAAUAGAGAGCUAGUUGCCCACGGUAGUAGCUCAUCACUCUAUUUCUUUUACUACACCGGUUGUUGGAGAUGACUUUUGGGAUUGGUUGUACCUUCUGAUUGAUGUUUCAUUGAUCAUGAGAAGUUUAGACCACGACGAGUUAGACCAUGUCUACGCAGCGUGCCAUCAUGGCUUAAUCAUUGGGCCCAUCACUACCAUUGAAGAUACCAAGAGUUCAUGACCAUACCAAGAGUUCAUGGUAUUACUGCAGGUGUGCCAUUCCCCAAGAACUGUAUGCUCAGAAGCUAGACAGCAUCAUUCAAUUAGAGUUUAGAAUCAGAACUACUGGAGCAACUAACAACCGAUUAGA
rnacentral:lncRNA from 1 species